rnacentral:lncRNA from 1 species
ACUAUUAUUAGUAUGUGUACAUGACUAAUUAAAAAAGAGUAUACACAAAAGAGUUAGGCAAGCAAACCAAACUAGAGACCACGGGGAACACUCUUACUUGUAAAGCACAAUAAAAAUCACUUCAAAAAAUCAAUGAUAUUAAAUACAAUGUUGUUUAGUCACAAAUAAAAUUCAAGUACGUGUACACCUUCUCGAAAUUGCAGCAAUACAAAAGUGAUUAUCACAUCAAAGGUAGAGAGAAUAUUAUAGGCAGUGCUGUUCCCUACAAAGAAGCCACGUACCCCUUCUUUCCAGCAAAUGCUUAACACCUUCUUCAUUUUCAUUGGUUAUACCCUUCAAUUGUGGGACCAAUCACAAUGCCCUAAAUCCAGAUACGCCACUUUCCCUAUGGGACCUAUACCAACCGAAUUGAAAUAUUUUUGACCAAUCACAUUUUAAACUUAACUUUUCAGGAUGCACUAAACCAUUAUAUCUAACACGUGUCCUUUGUAAUCUUGUCAAUCACUCUCAACCUCUAUUUUUAAACAUCACAAGCACUCAAGACUCUUAUUAUUUUUCUUGAGAAAAUUUCAAUCCUAGCCUUUUUAAAUUUUGUUAUGUAUGUCUAAAAUGAUUGUGUUUAAUAAAAUUAUAUAAAUCCCCUAAAAAAAAAAAAUAUAAAUACAUUGUUAUAAAAAAAUCUACAUAGUACAUAUAUCUAAUAAUAUCACACAUGGAGUAGACAUAGAUAUUAUUAUUUUAGUGGUACUCACAUAAAUAUCAAUAGAGUUUAAUAUAAAAGUAUUGAUAUAUUUUAUUAGCUAUGUAUUGAUUUCUUUUUUGUUGAAUAUUGACUUUGUAUUGAUGGUGUGAAAGAAAUGUACAAAAUUAUAAAAUUAUAUCUCAUCGUGUAAAAUACUUUUUAUUUUGUUACACUGUCAUAGUAAUUAGAGUAUUUGGCUAGACAUAAAGAUUUAAACUUUGACUCUCUUUGAGCCAACUUUGGUACUAAUCCUCAUUCUAAAGCAUUAUAGCCACUAUCAAAUUCCUUACAAUUUCACAUAGCUAUUUGAAUUGAUGAACUAAGACACAUCAAAAGAGUUAAAAAGAAGUAUAUUAAAAUUUAAAAUUUUAUUGUAAACUAGCAUGAACUACUUAUUAACAUUUACCCAUAGAUUAGAUCAAACAUAUUAACAAAAAACUAAUAUGAUAUUAGCCCAUUUGGAUUUACUGAUUUUUAAAAUAGUUUACGAAAAUACAAUUCAUAAAAAUACGAUUUUUGUU